GAUGAACGCUGGCGGCGUGCCUAAUACAUGCCAGUCGAGCGAACAGACGAGAAGCUUGCUCCUCUGACGUUAGCGGCGGACGGGUGAGUAACACGUGGAUAACCUACCUAUAAGACUGGGAUAACUUCGGGAAACCGGAGCUAAUACCGGAUAAUAUAUUGAACCGCAUGGUUCAAUAGUGAAAGACGGUUUUGCUGUCACUUAUAGAUGGAUCCGCGCGGCAUUAGCUAGUUGGUAAGGUAACGGCUUACCAAGGCAACGAUGCGUAGCCGACCUGAGAGGGUGAUCGGCCACACUGGAACUGAGACACGGUCCAGACUCCUACGGGAGGCAGCAGUAGGGAAUCUUCCGCAAUGGGCGAAAGCCUGACGGAGCAACGCCGCGUGAGUGAUGAAGGUCUUCGGAUCGUAAAACUCUGUUAUUAGGGAAGAACAAAUGUGUAAGUAACUAUGCACGUCUUGACGGUACCUAAUCAGAAAGCCACGGCUAACUACGUG
rnacentral:rRNA from 1 species